UUAUGCCUACGGGGCGCAGCAGUGAGGAAUAUUGGUCAAUGGGCGCGAGCCUGAACCAGCCACGUCGCGUGAGGGAUGAAGGUUCUAUGGAUCGUAACCCUCUUUUAUAAGGGAAUAAAGUGUGGGACGUGUCCUAUUUUGUAUGUACCUUAUGAAUAAGGAUCGGCUAACUCCGUGCCAGCAGCCGCGGUAAUACGGAGGAUCCGAGCGUUAUCCGGAUUUAUUGGGUUUAAAGGGUGCGUAGGCGGCCUUUUAAGUCAGCGGUGAAAGUCUGUGGCUCAACCAUAGAAUUGCCGUUGAAACUG
rnacentral:rRNA from 1 species